CGCAUACGAGUUUGAACUCUUUGGAUCCUACCAGCCGCAGUACGGCACACCUGGCCCGUAUCCGCAGCAUCAUGGGACUCCCUCCGCAGCAUCAAGUUCGUCGAUGUCGAACGAGCCACCUGCGGCAAAUGAUUUUUUCUCUAUGUUUACUACACCCCCACCUGCGCCAAAUGAUGAUGUUGGUCAUCGCGAACACCCAGAACGUGAC
rnacentral:lncRNA from 1 species